GACGAACCGAGCGCACGUUGUUCGGAAUCACUGGGCUUAAAGGGCGCGUAGGCGGGCUGCCAAGUUUGGGGUGAAAUCCUCCGGCUCAACCGGAGCAGUGCCUCGAAUACUGGCGGUCUCGAGGGAGGUAGGGGCGUGCGGAACUGUGGGUGGAGCGGUGAAAUGCGUUGAUAUCCACAGGAACUCCGGUGGCGAAGGCGGCACGCUGGACCUUUUCUGACGCUGAGGCGCGAAAGCCAGGGGAGCGAACGGG
rnacentral:rRNA from 1 species